rnacentral:pre_miRNA from 1 species
UAAUCUCUGCAGGCAACUGUGAUGGUGUGUUUAUAAAUCUCACAAUCACCUGGAGAGAUUCUG